rnacentral:rRNA from 1 species
GACGAACGCGUGGCGCGUGCCUAAGUACAUGCAAGUCGAACGAAGGCACCUUGAAUUUGAUUCUUCGGAUGAAGAUUUUGGUGACUGAGUGGCGGACGGGUGAGUAACGCGUGGGUAACCUGCCUCAUACAGGGGGAUAACAGUUGGGAACGACUGCUAAUACCGCAUAAGCCCACAGGUCGGCAUCGACCAGAGGGAAAAGGAGCAAUCCGCUUUGAGAUGGCCUCGCGUCCGAUUAGCUAGUUGGUGAGGUAACGGCCCACCAAGGCGACGAUCGGUAGCCGGACUGAGAGGUUGAACGGCCACAUUGGGACUGAGACACGGCCCAG